rnacentral:rRNA from 1 species
GAUGAACGCUGGCGGCGUGCUUAACACAUGCAAGUCGAACGGAAAGGCCCUGCUUUUGUGGGGUGCUCGAGUGGCGAACGGGUGAGUAACACGUGAGUAACCUGCCCUUAACUUUGGGAUAACUUCAGGAAACUGGGGCUAAUACCGGAUAGGAGCUCCUGCUGCAUGGUGGGGGUUGGAAAGUUUCGGCGGUUGGGGAUGGACUCGCGGCUUAUCAGCUUGUUGGUGGGGUAGUGGCUUACCAAGGCUUUGACGGGUAGCCGGCCUGAGAGGGUGACCGGCCACAUUGGGACUGAGAUACGGCCCAGACUCCUACGGGAGGCAGCAGUGGGGAAUAUUGCACAAUGGGCGGAAGCCUGAUGCAGCAACGCCGCGUGCGGGAUGACGGCCUUCGGGUUGUAAACCGCUUUCGCCUGUGACGAAGCGUGAGUGACGGUAAUGGGUAAAGAAGCACCGGCUAACUACGUG